rnacentral:rRNA from 1 species
AGUGAACGCUGGCGGUAGGCCUAACACAUGCAAGUCGAACGGCAGCACAGUAAGAGCUUGCUCUUACGGGUGGCGAGUGGCGGACGGGUGAGGAAUACAUCGGAAUCUACUUUUUCGUGGGGGAUAACGUAGGGAAACUUACGCUAAUACAGCAUACGACCUACGGGUGAAAGCAGGGGAUCUUCGGACCUUGCGCGAUUGAAUGAGCCGAUGGCGGAUUAGCUAGUUGGCGGGGUAAAGGCCCACCAAGGCGACGAUCCGUAGCUGGUCUGAGAGGAUGAUCAGCCACACUGGAACUGAGACACGGUCCAGACUCCUACGGGAGGCAGCAGUGGGGAAUAUUGGACAAUGGGCGCAAGCCUGAUCCAGCCAUACCGCGUGGGUGAAGAAGGCCUUCGGGUUGUAAAGCCCUUUUGUUGGGAAAGAAAAGCAGCAGGUUAAUACCCCGCUGUUCUGACGGUACCCAAAGAAUAAGCACCGGCUAACUUCGUG